rnacentral:RNase_P_RNA from 1 species
UGAGUAAACCGGGUGACCGCCCCGAUUAACAUCGGGGAGGAAAGUCCGAGCUCCACCAGGCGGGAUGCUGGGUAACACCCAGGAGGGGUGACCCUACGGAUAGUGCCACAGAAACAUACCGCCCCGAUUCUAUCGGGGUAAGGGUGAAAUGGUGAGGUAAGAGCCCACCAGCGGCUGGGUGACCAGUCGGCUGGGAAAACCCCAUCUGGAGCAAGACCAAAUAGAGGGACACAAGGGAUGCCUGGCCUGGUCCCCGGGUUGGUCGCUUGACCCCGAUGGUAACAUCGGGGCUAGAUAGAUGGUCACCGUCCCGAUUAUCCCGAUUUACUUCGUUCUUGCGGGAUGCCGCAGGAGUGAAACGAAUCGGCACAUCGGGAUACAGAACUCGGCUUACAGGUUUACUUAGCCC